UUUUCAGUCCUGGAGAUUGAAAUUCUCUGUUUAUCCACAGAACAGUUACAGCUUGGGAAACAUUAUAAACUUCCCCACCAAUGUACCUUAAUGCUAUUCAAGGGUGCUAUCUAGGGGUGAUAGUAUCUGCUCAUUUUCCAGGUCCUAUAACAUACUUGGCUUGU
ensembl:misc_RNA